rnacentral:lncRNA from 1 species
CCGUGAGACUCAUCUCACAUCUGAAUACUAAAUGGCACCUUGCGGGAAUUCUACAUCCGCGGAAAGCCAUACUGCACCUCGCGGGGUCUUACUAUGCCUGGCGGCAAGCAGAAUAUAAGUCGUAGGACCUGCUGAUCCUACGCCUAGGACCGUGUCCCCCCUAGGAAGGGAUUGGGUUCCGCCCACCUAGAAGGCUAAUAUGUGCACACAGGCCGAUGUCUAACCCCAUCGACUAUAGGUGUCCUGUAGAUACUACCAGGCCAUGCAUAAAUGCCAUAAUGCACCUUCCAAUACUGUACUAAAAAGGAGUAUAAUCAAGACUACCACUCACUUGGCCACGACCCAAUCAUAACUAACAUCAGGGUUGGGAGUGAGGAAUCAUGGGAGUGCAAUGCAACUCAAUAUAUCACUGAAAAGGCUCUACAAGUCUUUGAAAUAGAGGAAAUGAAAUCAAUUUACAAAAGAAGUCAUUUCACAAUUUGGAACCAAUUUAACUACUCAUCUACCCCUUGUAAUUCCUCUCAAUGUUCCCUCAAAUGCAUGUACAAAAUAAUUAAACAUGGAGAAAAAAGAUUAUAGAGGAAUCUACUACAAUAUCAAUUAAUAUGCACAAGUGGAAUCAAUUCACACUUGGCGACAUUCAUGAAAAU